AUGAAAGCGGCACAAACAGAAGACUCUUGUAAUUCUGCGUGAUCUUACCCAAGCAUUCCAAUAUAUCAGUAUUAUGACAAUGUGAGCUGCUUAAAAUAAAGAACACUGUUAAUGUUACUGAUAUUCAAAAAGAUUAUCUGGCUGUAUGGUGACAGCAGAAGGUUGUGCUGCUCUGUCUUCAGCUCUGAGUUCAAACUCCUCACACCUGAGAGAGCUGGAUCUGAGCUACAAUCAUCCAGGAGAUUCAGGAGUGAAGCUGCUCUCUCAAACACUCAAACAUCUGGACAAACUCAAUGUGGAUCAUGGAGGAGAAUUCAG